AUUGAGACAUAUAAAAAAAGACAACUCUGUUCUGCAGAGUAGCUGUUGACAUUAUAGUUGCGCAGAAACUUUGUUGACUCUAGAGAACCUUGGGCAAAUUGCACAUCCCCGUGGCGGCGACUUUGCAUGCGGAUGUCAUCCAUAUCAACUUUCGAUGCCAGUUUCUGCGCCUACCAUGGUGACCACGGGUAAUGGGGAAUCAGAGUUCCAUUCCGUACAGGGACCCUGAGAAACGGCUACCACAUGCAAGCAAGGUAGCAGGCG